UUGCGUUUAAAGUUUAUUACAGCCCAGGUAGCUUAAAUUUGUUGCACACAAGACGGAGGCUUUGCCAGUUCUGGACUAUUUGUAUAAAUCAGCACAGUGAGACAAUCUUUUCGGAACAAGUCAUGAAAUUUAAGCAUCAGCCAAACCAGUUCAGAGUGAUUUAUGAAAUUCUGAAGAUCACAUUAAAUGGAAUUGCUAACAGCCAUAACUACAUCCACAUAAAUGUGCCUCUCAUAAUAAAAACAUUCUACAUAGUUCUGAAUGUUUUAAGAACUAGUAAAAUGACUACAGAUUAUGGAGUCCAUCUCCUUUAAGGCAUCAAAGACAUUCUCAAGGAGGAGUUAAUUAGUCCAGUUUCACAGGAUACACCAUUACAGAAUCUGAGAUUCUGACUGCCUGUGAUUAAUUUCAACCCUGCACCAACAUACUUUGCUUGCAUUAGCUCUGUUUUCAAUUUCCCCUCCUUUUUUUCCAGAGGUCUCUCACUGGGGUGUUCACAGCUGGAGACUCAAGUGUAGCUCCUCUGUGCUGCCCCAUAACCAACUGUAACACUUGUCAGCAAACCUCUAGAUGACAAGGAAGCACAUAAGAAGUACUUUCCAACAUGCAUGUUUCCCCACCCUGUUCUCCAAUUCACAAGGCAGCAGAUUCACAUGCAAGCCCCUCUCCCCUUAAACGAUCUGGUACACAUAUGCACUUGCUUCCAAGCAUCCACAUUCCCAUUAAAUACAAAGUUCACAGAAAUAUUGCGCUUUUACUGAUACCACUGAUAAAGAGAUCACGAUUAAAGACUCCUUCCAACCUCUUUCAUAAAGGAAGAUGGAUUCCUACCAACCAGUAGCAGGCACCAAGCUUCAGGAAAGGACUACCUGUGGUCCAGUGCUCCAGCGCAUUCCCAUGCAAUGAAAAAUAUCCAUCAGUGAGGCAACUUCCACAAAAUAUAAGCGUCUUCCUCCACAAAAUAUAAGAAGCACCGAGUCCCCUGGGCUGGUACACUGUCAUAGCACACCUUUCAAGCUUCCUUACCAAACAGCUUAUGUUCUGGAAAUAAAUGCAACUUGUGUAUGCAGUUCCCUUUCUGUAUUUCACUCCCUUUCUGCAGGGAGUCUUGCUUGAGGAUAUAGCUUCUACUGCAUGCAUCCAAAGUUGGCAUCACAUUCAUGUCUCUUCCCAGCCACUCAAUUCUCCCUCUUCAUUCACACUGGUAUACACAUUCAGUGAUAAGUUACACUGAAGUUAGUCUGGGUUAAGAGCAGCCUUUUAGCUGCAUUAGUUUUAGCCUGGAUCAGUUCAGCUGGUCUCAUCACACGGCUGCGUUAGCAUCUGGACCAUUCAUGCGACAGCAGUGCAGAGAGAUGAUAAGAAUGAAAGCACUGGCUUUCAUGUUCUACCCUAGCACAUAAGAAAGUACAUCCCAAGUUUCAAUUUUCAUGGAAAUCACCCUCGACUGCUCAGAGUCACUCGCCCCGAGAGAGUGCUGCUCUUUGUAUCAGUAACACUUGAGGGAAACACAAACCAACCAUACGCUGUGGGGUGUUCUGCACCAUACAAUGGGCAAACAUACGUUUAGUCCAUCUAAGUCUUCAAGUUAUUUCUGAUUCAGUAAGUUCCUUGUUUAAACUAUCUGAGUGCUUUAGGCCUUUCUUAUCUUGCUAAAUUAAGUCAGUCCUUGCCAGCUGCCAACAAGGGGAAGUGGGAACACAUAAGGACACCACACGACCUCCCUCUCUAGAACAACACGGCGUGCUUCCACCUCCCC
ensembl:lncRNA